CCUACGGGAGGCAGCAGUGAGGAAUAUUGGUCAAUGGGCGCGAGCCUGAACCAGCCAAGUCGCGUGAGGGAUGAAGGUUCUAUGGAUCGUAAACCUCUUUUAUAAGGGAAUAAAGUGUGGGACGUGUCCUAUUUUGUAUGUACCUUAUGAAUAAGGAUCGGCUAACUCCGUGCCAGCAGCCGCGGUAAUACGGAGGAUCCGAGCGUUAUCCGGAUUUAUUGGGUUUAAAGGGUGCGUAGGCGGCCUUUUAAGUCAGCGGUGAAAGUCUUUGGCUCAACCAUAGAAUUGCCGUUGAAACUGGGGGGCUUGAGUAUGUUUGAGGCAGGCGGAAUGCGUGGUGUAGCGGGGAAAUGCUUAGAUGUCACGCAGAACCCCGAUUGUGAAGGCAGCCUGCCAAGCCAUGACUGACGCUGAUGCACGAAAGCGUGGGGAUCAAACAGGAUUAGAUACCCCAGUAGUC
rnacentral:rRNA from 1 species